rnacentral:rRNA from 1 species
AGCAGCAGCCGCGGUAAAACGUAGGUGGCAAGCGUUGUCCGGAAUUAUUGGGCGUAAAGGGCUCGCAGGCGGUUUCUUAAGUCUGAUGUGAAAGCCCCCGGCUCAACCGGGGAGGGACAUUGGAAACUGGGAAACUUGAGUGCAGAAGAGGAGAGUGGAAUUCCACGUGUAGCGGUGAAAUGCGUAGAGAUGUGGAGGAACACCAGUGGCGAAGGCGACUCUCUGGUCUGUAACUGACGCUGAGGAGCGAAAGCGUGGGGAGCGAACAGGAUUAGAUACCCCUGUAGUCCCUGUCUCUUAUAC